rnacentral:rRNA from 1 species
GACGAACGCUGGCGGCGUGCUUAACACAUGCAAGUCGAACGGACAGGCUCCAGCUUGCUGGAGUGCUCGAGUGGCGCACGGGUGAGUAACACGUGGGCAAUCUGCCCUGCACUCUGGGAUAAGCCUGGGAGACUGGGUCUCAUACCGGAUAGGACCUUUCUCACCAUGGGGUUUGGUGGAAAGUUUGUCGUUGCAGGUUGAGCCCGCGGGCUAUCAGCUUGCUGGUGGGGGAAGGGCAUACCACGGCGUAGAAAGGUAGCCGGCCUGAGAAGGUGAUCGGCGACAAGGGGACUGAGAGACGGCCCAGACGCCAACGGGAGGCAGCAGUGGAGAAUAUUGCACAAUGGGCGAAAGCCUGAUACGGCGACGCCGCGUGAGUGAUGACGGCCUUCGGGGUGUAAACCUCUUUCAGUAGGGACGAAGCGCAAGUGACGGUACCUGCAGAAGAAGCACCGGCUAACUACGUG